rnacentral:lncRNA from 1 species
CUUGAGCUUGAUGCCUUGCUUGCUUUGCCAAAACAGAAUUUCAGUGAGAUGAAUGGUGAAGGUUUAGAAGCAUUAAAUCUAAGAAUUCAACCAGAUGAAGUUGAAUUUUAGAUCUGAAAAUUUUGAAGAGAAAUGGAACUUGCUUCUUUAGUGAUGGUUAUGGAGAGAAUUCUGCAGCAUUUCAGGUUGAAUUGGGCGUCCCAAAUGAAUGGAAUGAAG